ensembl:lncRNA
CAGAGAGAGAGAGAGAGAGGGUCUUUGAGAAGCAGAAGGCUGUGUAUAUUUUAUUGAUUGAACAUGGCGAUAGAGAGAGACUGGAGAUGACAGAUUAAUUAGCAGGUUAGGUCAGAGGGUGAAUAGGUUAGAGGGUGAAUAGGUUAGAGGGUGAAUAGGUUAGGUUAGAGGGUGAAUAGGUUAGGUUAGAGGGUGAAUAGGUCAGGUUAGGGAGGGUGAAUAGGUCAGGUUAGGGAGGGUGAAUAGGUCAGGUUAGAGAGUGAAUAGGUUAGGUUAGAGGGUGAAUAGGUUAGGUUAGAGGGUGAAUAGGUUAGGUUAGAGGGUGAAUAGGUUAGGUUAGAG